AUACUCUGGUUUCUCUUCAAAUCAUAUAAAUCUUUCGCCUUUUACUAAAGAUUUCCGUGGAGAGGAGCAUUUAUGAGUUUUCGAAGAUUACUGAAAAUGCAUCAAGGAUGGAAUU